rnacentral:rRNA from 1 species
UAUCUAAUCCUGGUAGUCCACGCCGUAAACUAUGAUAACUCGGUGCUGGCGAUAUAAUGUCAGUGCCCAAGCGAAAGUGAUAAGUUAUCCACCUGGGGAGUACGAUCGCAAGGUUGAAACUCAAAGGAAUUGACGGGGGGCCCGCACAAGCGGUGGAGCAUGUGGUUUAAUUCGAUGAUACGCGAGGAACCUUACCUGGGCUUAAAUGCAUAAUGACCGUCUCGGAAACGNGACUUUCUUCGGACAGAAUGCAAGGUGCUGCAUGGUUGUCGUCAGCUCGUGCUGUGAGGUGUCGGGUUAAGUCCCAUAACGAGCGCAACCCCUAUUUCUAGUUGCCAGCGAGUAAUGUCGGGGACUCUAGAGAAACUGCCCGCGCAAGCGGAGAGGAAGGUGGGGGAUGGACGUCAAAUCAUCACGGCCCUUACGUCCAGGGGCUACACACGUGCUACAAUGGCCGGUACAAAGGGGCAGGC